rnacentral:rRNA from 1 species
GACGAACGCUGGCGGCGUGCUUAACCCAUCCAAGUCGAACGGAAAGGCCCUGCUUUUGUGGGGUGCUCGAGUGGCGAACGGGUGAGUAACACGUGAGUAACCUGCCCUUGACUUUGGGAUAACUUCAGGAAACUGGGGCUAAUACCGGAUAGGAGCUCCUGCUGCAUGGGGGGGGUUGGAAAGUUUCGGCGGUUGGGGAUGGACUCGCGGCUUAUCAGCUUGUUGGUGGGGUAGUGGCUUACCAAGGCUUUGACGGGUAGCCGGCCUGAGAGGGUGACCGGCCACAUUGGGACUGAGAUACGGCCCAGACUCCUACGGGAGGCAGCAGUGGGGAAUAUUGCACAAUGGGCGGAAGCCUGAUGCAGCAACGCCGCGUGCGGGAUGACGGCCUUCGGGUUGUAAACCGCUUUCGCCUGUGACGAAGCGUGAGUGACGGUAAUGGGUAAAGAAGCACCGGCUAACUACGUG